rnacentral:rRNA from 1 species
UACGAAGGGGGCUAGCGUUGCUCGGAAUCACUGGGCGUAAAGGGUGCGUAGGCGGGUCUUUAAGUCAGGGGUGAAAUCCUGGAGCUCAACUCCAGAACUGCCUUUGAUACUGAGGAGCUUGAGUUCGGGAGAGGUGAGUGGAACUGCGAGUGUAGAGGUGAAAUUCGUAGAUAUUCGCAAGAACACCAGUGGCGAAGGCGGCUCACUGGCCCGGUACUGACGCUGAGGUGCGGAAGCGUGGGGAGCAAACAGG